rnacentral:rRNA from 1 species
UACGUAGGGUGCGAGCGUUGUUCGGAAUUAUUGGGCGUAAAGGGCGCGUAGGCGGUGCGGUAAGUCUGUAGUGAAAUCUCUGGGCUCAACUCAGAGUCUGCUGCAGAAACUGCCGUGCUUGAGUGUGGGAGAGGUGAGUGGAAUUCCCGGUGUAGCGGUGAAAUGCGUAGAUAUCGGAAGGAACACCUGUGGCGAAAGCGGCUCACUGGACCAUUACUGACGCUGAGGCACGAAAGCUAGGGGAGCAAACAGGG